rnacentral:lncRNA from 1 species
CACGGCCUGUAGAAGUGACUCGUCAAGAAAGCCGAUCUACUACUUUGCCAGCCACAAGGAGUGAAACAAGUUAUGUGACGUUGCCAGGUCCUAACCAACAGAACAGUGGUACAAAAAAAUCUAUUACUCUGCCAGCCAUUAGAAGAGAAACAAGUCCUGUGACGUCGCCAGGUAUGAGCAAACAGAGCAGUCAUACAAAACAAUCUAUUUCUCUGCCAGCCACUAGGAGAGAAACAAGUCCUGUGACAUCGCCAAGUACUAGCAAACAGAAGAGUAGUUUCAUUAGAAAACUUACAAGGAAACUCAGUAAGAGAAG